CAAGAUUAAGCCAUGCAUGUCUAAGUACGAAUUGUUUAACUGUGAAACUGCGAAUGGCUCAUUAAAUCAGUCAUGGUUUAUUGGAGAGUAAACUCCUACUUGGAUAACUGUGGUAAUUCUACAGCUAAUACAUGCGUCAAUCCCCGACCUCACGGAGGGGAGCAUUUAUCAGUUCCAAGACCGACGGCCCUCGGGUCUCAGCUGGUGAAUCAUGAUAAAUUUGCGGAUCGCACAUCUUCAUCGAUGGCGACGCAUCUUUCAAGUGUCUGCCCUAUCAACUUUCGAUGGUAGGGUAUUGGCCUACCAUGGUUGUAACGGGUGACGGGGAAUCAGGGUUCGAUUCCGGAGAGGGAGCCUGAGAAACGGCUACCACAUCCAAGGAAGGCAGCAGGCGCGCAAAUUACCCACUCCCGACACGGGGAGGUAGUGACGAAAAAUAACGAUGCAGGGUCAUUAUUGGUCUUGCAAUCGGAAUGAGUACACUUUAAAUCCGUUAACGAGGAUCUAUUGGAGGGCAAGUCUGGUGCCAGCAGCCGCGGUAAUUCCAGCUCCAAUAGCGUAUAUUAAAGCUGCUGCAUUUAAAAAGCUCGUAGUUGGAUGUCAGGUUUUGGUAGUCGGUCCGCCGCCAGGCGUGCACUGACGACCGGAUCUAUUCUACGUCUCUUCGUCACUGUUCUUAACCGAGUGGUGUCGGAGGAACGUUAUGUUUACCUUGAAAAAAUUAGAGUGCUCAAAGCAGGCAUGCGCCCGGAUAUUUCAGCAUGGAAUAAUGGAACAGGACCUCGCUCCUAUUCUGUUGGUCUUCGGGAUUGCGAGGUAAUGAUUAUUAGGGACAGACGGGGGCAUUCGUACUGUGGUGUUAGAGGUGAAAUUCUUGGAUCACCGCAUGACGUGCUAGUGCGAAAGCAUUUGCCAAGAAUGUUUCCAUUAAUCAAGAACGAAAGUUAGAGGAUCGAAGGCGAUCAGAUACCGCCGUAGUUCUAACCAUAAACGAUGCCGACCGGCAAUCUGCAAGGUUCGUUUUCUGAGCUUGCAGGCAGCCCUGGGGAAACCAGAGUCUUCGGGUUAUGGGGGAAGUAUGGUUGCAAAGCUGAAACUUAAAGGAAUUGACGGAAGGGCACCACCAGGAGUGGAGCCUGCGGCUUAAUUUGACUCAACACGGGAAAACUCACCCGGCCCGGACAUAGGAAGGAUUGACAGAUUGAAAGCUCUUUCUUGAUUCUAUGGGUGGUGGUGCAUGGCCGUUCUUAGUUGGUGGAGUGAUUUGUCUGGUUAAUUCCGAUAACGAACGAGACCCCAGCCUGCUAAAUAGGAAGGGUUUCCUACCGGAGCCCGUUUCCUUCUUAGAGGGACAAUCGGCGUCUCUAGCCGGAUGAGAUGGAGCAAUAACAGGUCUGUGAUGCCCUUAGAUGUUCGGGGCCGCACGCGCGCUACACUGAAAGAGUCAAUGUGUGCCCACCCUUCACAGAGAUGUGCGGGUAACCCUGUGAGCCCCUUUCGUGAUGGGGAUAGGGGAUUGCAAUUAUUCCCCUUGAACGAGGAAUUCCCAGUAAGUGCAAGUCAUAAGCUUGCAUUGAUUACGUCCCUGCCCUUUGUACACACCGCCCGUCGCUACUACCGAUUGAAUGAUUUAGUGAGAUCUCCGGAUUGGCAGCGCGCGUCGACUCGUUCACGCGGCGCAUGCCGAGAAGUUGCUCAAACUUGAUCAUUUAGAGGAAGUAAAA
rnacentral:rRNA from 1 species